UGAGAGCUUCCUCUGCCCAUGACCAUUUUGCAUGUGUAUAUCGUGUGGCAGGCACGAAGAUACUCUAUGCCCAAGGAAGUCAAGGAAAUUUCCUUUACGAAAAGAUCCUGGACCGACCGGGAAUCGAACCCGUCACCCUCAGCAUGGUCAUGCUGAAUACCCGCGCGUUUACCGCCUCGGCUAAAUGGGCCCCAAAUGAUUUCAGGAAAAAAUGAAUCAUAUACUUAACGUCAAAGAUCAAGAAGUAUUCUAAAGAAGGAUAAUACAUUAUAGUGCAUUAAUUUCUCUGGAUAUAAUAUGCAGACAAGUAUGAUUUGCUGAAAAGAGCCAUUAUCGGAAUCCAAAUUGCUUGUAUCGAUAAAGAACAGCCUAUAUACAAAAGCAGGAACAUCCCCUUCCGGAAAAAUCAAAGAGCAGGUUAUUUCGAAAAUAAGAGAUCUAAUAAAUAUAAUGCACCACUAAUAAGUUCGCCUUCUUUCCAUUGAAGGCUGUUCUUUAAUUUUUCUCCCGAGAGAAAAUAUAUUUUUUCAUAUGAGCGAGUAAUGGCGCUUAAGCCUAGGCACUAGGGCCAGGACACAGGGAGGACCAAGGACCAAGGGGUGACAUUAACCUCCUUAGCAUCGUCACCCCCACCGAUAUUCACCGUAUUUUAAUUUUGCUUUUCCAUAAACUGAGCGGUUGGUACGAGAUGUCCCCACUCAUUGUCUUUAUUGUUGAAUUAAAAAUGCUGCACAGUAGGCCUUCUUCUUCUUCUUUGUGGCUUGACGUUCGCAUUGGAACUUGGCCUGCCUCUCUUCAACUUAGUGUUCUUAGAGCACUUCCACCUAGACUUCCACAGUUAUUAAUUGAAGGGCUUUCUUUGCAUGCCAUUGCAUGAAUUUGUACAUUGUGUGGCAAGUACAAUGAUACACUAUGCCCAAGGAGUCGAGAAAAGUUUUCCGACUGGAGCGGGAAUCGAACCCGUUGUCUCCGGAUGGGCGAUCCAUAGCCUUAACCACUAGGCUAACUGGAGACCCCCACAAGGCCUGGCCGCUUUAAUGCUUGUAAUGCAUCUUCGAUAUUCUGCAAUCAUUAAUAAUGACAAGAAAAAUGAUGGAACUAGUCGAUUUCAUCAUUUUCCAGGAUUCUUUCAAUGAAUGGCUGUGUAUGUGUAGACUAGACUAGACUAGAGAGAAAAUAUAUUUCACAUAUGCUUUAUGCCAAAUGUCGUUUAUGCCAAAUGUCCUUUAUGACAAAUGGCGUUUAUGCCAAACGUACCAGACCCAAAAAAGGUAAUGUUUUAUCUGAAAGAGCAACGCUUUCCAACGAGACCGUAGCCAUGUUUUUUCUUCUAUUCGAUCCAGCAAGUUUCUACACCUGAUGACAUUCUGGCAGAGCUAGGAAAGGCUAGGGAAUUCUCAACUAGUGACGCUAAAAAAGGGUUCUGGCACCUGGUCCUAAAUGAAGCCAGUAGCAAACAGAUUGUAACCUGUUUGCUGUUUGCAAACAGAUUGUGUAACCUUACUUGUAUGAGCCGAAUCUUGGCGAAAAUUUCAUGUUUUAUUGUCUUGUUAAUGUCAGAAGGCUUCAAACAACUGAGAGGGUUACUCCGCUACCAAACCAUUACAACCAAGCAUUGCUGAAGGGCGUAGAGGAUGGCCAUCAUAAUUUUUAUAUUGAGAUGUGGCAUGGCCGUUAACCCUGUCCCAUGGGCGCUGCCAUCUUCGAAAUAUAAGAUUUUUAGGGAGAAGUAUUCAGGCGUCCGUGUGAGCAAUACCGAUCUUCGUGAUCAUGAAAUUAGUGCCGCGUAUUGUUUCAACCCCCCCUCCCCCUCUUUUACGAUGGCGAGACCUGGGGCAACGGCCUACUACCGUUCAGGACCUCUUCCCGUUUUAUAAAAUACGGCCUCACACGGGUCGACUUGGAAUUCAAAAUGGCUUCCGAGUCUAAACGCAAAGGACACCUCGUCGUCCGAAUCCGGACGGUUCCUGCGAACCUCCGACCAUAAUUACCCACACUGCAAAAACUGCAAACAAGAAACAAUUAUUUUAUGUUUUACACACAUAUAUUUUUGCAAUUUGUCUGGACAAAUGAUGUUUAUGGGUGACACACACGCUAACCUGAAACUACCCAUCGACUAGGUCGAUUCGACCCGGAUUUUCAUGUUGUUAGCAGUUGUCAUAAUCCGGGUAACCCGAAAACCCAGAUUCGUUGAAUUUGGGUAAAGAUCUGGGUAAUCGGCACUUUGUCACUUUUCAGCUAGAGAAUAUGGCAGCGGUCAGGAUAACGCUGAAAACUAUGAAUGUUUUCGCGAAAAAUAUGCCGAUAAAUGACGGGAAAACAGUGGAAUUAUUCCGGGAACUGUUUUCCAGCAUCAGGUAAGUGAACAGCACAUGGAAAUUAAGAGCUUUUUAUUUAAAAUCUAAAUUGAAAAUAAAUUAACAAAAUCAAGGCCCCGGAGGAGCUGGGUAUCGCUUACCCAGAUUUUGCCACCAACAUCGGUAACCCAGAUUUGAGUAAAGGUGCCUUUACUCAGUUUAGAGUAACUGCAGUUUUGCUCAGUCUGGGUCGCUUUGACACCAAUCUGGGUAACUGAGGGUUAGCGUGCACAUAACGAAUUAUUUUUUGGUAUAUAUCGUUUUGAUGUGGACCACACAUAAAAACAAUGCAGAAUGACAAAUAAAAUCAAAGACCAUUGGCGUAGCUAGGGGGGGUUCCAGGGGUGCCUGGCACCCCCUAGAACAAAUUUGGCACCCCCUAGAAUUUUUCCUUGACAGUCACCUAAAAUUUAAAACUUUACACAAUAAUUCCAAUAUGUAUUACCGUGUGCGCACCUAACUUUGCGCAGGUCCAAACAUUGCGCAUUCUUGUAAAAUAACGAAACAAUUAACUAAAUGUCAACAUAUUUACCAGUUUAAUCAUUGCACUAGCAUUGUGUAAACAUAAACAUUAUUUGACAAAUAUUUAAUUGCCAUAAAAUCUUUGUUUAUGUUGAAUAAUAAACAAAAAAUACACAAAAAUGUCAAAAUUUGCCUCGCCUUAACGCGGUUGCCAAGAAGUAACUCUACUAAAAAUCAACAUUUUCCUCGAUAAAACUGUGCAACGAUGAUUAAUUUUGCAGUUAAUUGACAAAAAAAGGUGAUAUUCUAGUAAUAUCAAUCACAGUUCGUAAUAAACUUUUCAAUUUAAUUAGUAAAUAGUGGUGCGCAAUGUUUGGAACCAUUAUUUGCACUGUGUUCCUAAUUUUUGCGCACUUUCAGUAAAUGCAUGUUGAACGUGAUUACAUAACUUAUGAACCAUUCAAAUAUUAUGUAACACCAGUACUGAUAAUUUCAGGCCUGCCUCUCCACCAUGUAGCAGAUUUUGUAUAGAAAUUAGUAGAAAAUUGUAUGAACCGUAGCACUACGGCACUCUCCAUCUGUCUACAAUGAGACGUGAUUUGUGAACAGUCCUUCAUUUGGAUUUUCCGGCGGUCAAUGUUAGGGACGAUUAAAAUAUGACGUCCACCCUUUUUUUUCGAUUUUUAGAACCCCCUCUUUCCCUGGGCCACCCCGUCACGCUUCAUAGUAUGCCUAAUACAUUGCAUAUCACACUUUUUCAGACAACCCCAGCCCCUCCCCCCAAAGAUGGACGUCAUAUUUAAAUAACCCCUUAUUGUUCCUAUCUGUGACGGUCACUUCAUUUAUCAGGAAGCUUUUACCUUUGAUCUUUAGCCACAGGAAACAACCCAUCAUGAAGUUAGGAUUGUUCACACGGUGUAGGUGCCUAGUACGAACCGCAGACGAAAUUAAGAACUCCGGAGGCCUCCGUUCCCCCUCCCUCGUAGGCCAAAGUAUUUCAAGAAUGAUCAAUUAAGGGCACACUACCUGAUCUGAAUAGCUUUAGUUUAAAUAACAUUAAAUAAUAGUAUUUUGAUUACUUUUUUGAGUAAUUCAUACCAUGCGCAAAGUUAGGCACACUAUGCGUAAAGUUAGGUACAAUCGAAGAUUUUGUGCGCAAAGUUAGGAACAAGGCAACGAAAUAGUUUUUCUAUUUUAAGUAUUUUUUGAUUAAUAUUAUGAUUUUUUUUAUAUUGCAGACUCAAAGAAGGAUCAUUAGUCUAUCGUAUGAGCAUGUUGUUCAUGAUAUAUUUUGUUUGUUUGUAUUUUUUUAUAACGACUAGACAUUUGAUUUUUCUUAACUGCGCAAAGUUUGGUGCAUACACGGUAAUGGCACAUUUGAACAAAACUUAAGCACACCAGGAAUGUUGUACGUUUUGGCGUUUUGGAUAUUGGUGAUACCAAUCAACAGACUUCUCCCUGGAUUCCUACAGAAAUACCUCUCUUUAGGUUCCCUUUAUGGAUUCCUCCCGAAAUUUUAUCAAUAAACUUCUCUUAGGAUUCUCCAGGUCGUCCUGAUGGGGUUGUACAUACUAGAAAUAUCUGGAGAGAUUGAUCCAGCAAUUUCUUCUAGGAUUUCUUUGGAAAUUUUUACUAUGAUAUUUCUCGGAAUUCUUCUAGGGAUUCCUUUAAAAAAUUCGAUUGGGAUUCCUAGUGGGAUUAUUCAAGACAACCUUCCAGGGAUCCUUUCAGAAAUACCAAAAUCAGUCAUCCAAGUAACAGUUCCUCCGGUGUUUCUUCCAGGAAUUCCUUCAGAGAUUUUAUUCAGUGAUUCUGCCAGAAAUUUCUCAUAGAAUUCCUCCAGGAGCUUCUAUUGGCCUUCCUCCGGGAAUUGUGGAUAGGAUCCCUCAAGCAGUUUAUUCUGCGAUUUUUCCAGCAAUUUCUCUUAGAAUUCCUCCAGUGGGAAUGGUAGUUUCAGGAAUUCUACUAGGGAAGUUCUUUCGGAAAUUGAUGCGGAUAAUCUCCCUGGGAUGUUUCUAAAAAUCCCUUUGGUGAUUCUUCCGGCGAUUUCUUCAAGGAUUUAUUCAAAACUUCCUCCAGAGGUUCUUCCUGAAAUUCCACAGGGGAUUUCUCCAAGAAAUUCUAUUGACCUUCCUCCAUGAACUCCUGCUGAAAUUCUUCAAGCAUUUUCCAUUUGAACUGAUUCUAGGAUGUAUCUAGAAAUUACUACUAUGAUACCUCCCGGAAUCCAGCUGGGAUUCCUCAAGCAAUUCCUGCGGUUCUUCCAACUAUUCUUCCUAAAGAAAUUUUAACUGUGGUACUUCAGAAAUUAUGCUACGGAUUGUUCUAGAGGUUUGUCCUGGAUUUUUGCCAAGAUCGUUCCAGGCAAACUUCCUGGAAUUCUUGCAGAACUUGCUUUGGUCGUUCCACCAGGGCUUUCUCCAAGAACUCAUCCAGAAAUUCCUCCAGAGAUUUUAUCGAAAGAUUCCUCCAGAAAUUUCUCAUGGAAUUCGUGCAGAAACUCCUUUUGGCCUUCCUCCAAGAGUAACUCAAACAAUUCCUCCUUCGGUUCUUCCAGCAAUUCCUCCAGAAAUUCUUACUAUGAUACAUCCUGAAAUUCUUCUAGUGAUUCCUAUACGAAUUUAUGGAAAAUUUUCCUGGUAUUGCUUCAAAAAUUCCUCCUGCGAUUCCUUCAGGGCCAACUCUAUAGAUUCUUCAAGAACAAAGGUGGUACGGUCAAAAUUAGGUCAAUCAAUUUUUGUCAUAACUUUGGACUGCGUACACCAAAAUAGCUGAUUUUUGGACCAGUAAUGGUGCAUUAUAUGUAGCUAAUGCCAUAAAAUUUUCAUCAAAAUCGGUUUAGUUUUUGCGGAGAUAUUGUUGAAUCCUGAGAUCUGCAAUUUUAAAAUUUUGUACAAAGAGGCUUCAAAAAUAAGAACACAUUUUCACUGUUUUAUUUAUAGAGCCAGAAAUACUGAACCGAAUUCAAUGAUUUUUUUUCUGUAUAUAAAGAAUGCAUGUCCAAAUGUUGUGUAAAAAAUUAAUUCAAUUUGAUUUUGCCGUUUCAAAGUUAUAUUUGUUAAAGUGGCACCUUUGGAAGUAUUCAUACAUAAUUGAUCAUAGAUCAUAUUUGUAUAAUAGUAUUAUACUGUAAAAUUUUCAUAUGAAUCGGAGCAGUAUAAGUAGUUUUAUAACCAAAAGUGUGCUCUAAUGAUCUUAAAUUGUUAAAGAUUUACUAUGGAGCGCCUUUGUACAAAAUUCUAAAAAGGCAGGUCGUUGGUUUUAUCCAUAUAUCAAUCAAUACUUAAUGGAUUUUGAUGAAAAUUUUAUGGCAUAAGCUACACAUAAUGUACCAUCACCAAAAAUCAGCUGUUUUAGUGUACGCAGUCUGACGUUAUGAAAAAAAUUGUAUGAUCAAAUUUUGACCGUACCACCCUUUACCUACCGGUUCUUGCAGGGACUUCUGUAGGUACUCCAAGUAUUUUUCCUUUGGAUUCCCCUAGGAAUUCUUGGUGGGGUUUCUCUAGAAAUUCCAGUAUAGUUUUCCCCUAGGAUUUCAGCUGAGUUUUCUACAAUGAUACAUCCCAGAAUUCUUUUAGGGAUAUUCCCUGAGAUUUCUUCAGAAGCUCUCCUGUGAUUCCUUCAGGAAUUUUUAUCAAAGGAUUCUCUCGUAAAUUUCUCAUGGAAUUCCUCCAGGAGCUCCUCUUGGCCUUCCUCCAAGAAUUUCAGCUGGAUUUUACAAGCUAUUCCUGCUGUGGUUCUUCCAGCAAUUCUUCCUAGCAAUCCUCCAGAAAUUCUGGCUGUAAUACCUCGAGGAAUUCUUCUAAGGUUUCUUCUAAGAAUUUCUGCAGGGAUUUUUUCAAUAACUUGCUGGGAUUAUUCAAGGCAAUCUUCCUAGCAACCUUGCAGAAAUACCUUCGGUGUUUCCUUCUGGAAAUCAUAUUUCUUUUUUCAUGGGAUUUCUCCAAAUAUUUCUCAUUGGAUUCCUCCCGGAACUCCUCUAGACUUUCAUCCAGGAGCUCCUCCUGGGAUUCCAUAAGCUUCUAAUGGUUCGGGAAUGCCUCCUAGGUCUCCGCCAGAAAUUCUUACUGUGAUACCUGCAGAAAUCCAUCUAGGGAUUCCUUCUAGAAUUCUCGUUUGGAUUCUUCUAGGCAGUUUUCAUAGGAUGCCUUUAAUUCCAGAAAUGCCUUUGAUUCUUCCAGGAUUUUUUCUAAAGACUGAUCCAGGAAUUGCUCUAGAGUUUAUAAUUCAUGGAUUACUCUAGAAAUUAUUCAUGGUAUUACUCCUGGAGCUCCUCUUGGCCUUCUUCAAGGAAUUCCAGCUGAAGGAAUACCAAUAGAAAUCUCAAGAGGAAUCCCUAAACGAAUUUCGGAAAUACUUGGAAUUUCCAGAGAAUUCCUAAGAGAUAUUACUAGAAGACAAAUCUCUAGUGAAAGCCCAUAGGAAAGAAUGUACGGGAAAACUUGUAAUUCAUUAGAAGGCACAGAAUUUUGCUAAUUGACAAAUUGCGAGAUGAAUUUGUAAAAAAAAUCGCUUUCUGGUGGGAUUCGAAUCCAUGACUCUGUAUUCGCUAGACUGAAGUAUGGCAAAUCCUUAGGCAUGGUUGUCUUUUUUUUUUGAAAACUUCUGCAAUAGUUUCAUUCAAGCCUAACUUUACCGAACACCGUAUAUAACAUAUGUAAACAAAAAAGAUUUUCACAUGAGGCGCUGAAUUUCGUUAGGCACUGCUUGUGUCAAUGACAUUUGGGGAUGAUUUGUGUAAAAAUCAACAUAAUUUUCACGUUUUUUAAAUGCUCAAUAUAUGAGUUGCUAUGGGAACAGAGAACAUCCCCUUCUAUUUUCUCAGUUCAUGGAUUUAGUUGGAUACGGUGUUUGGUAAAGCUGGCUUGCAUUGUAAUUUAAUCAGAAAUUUCUCCAGAUUUUUUUCUGGAUCUUAAAUUAUUUCAGCAGAUUCUUUUCCAGUUAUUUUGCAAAUUUCGCAGGCAAUUUUAUCGUGAUUACUUUCGUAAUUCUUUAUGAUUUAAUUGUAUUUAUAUUUAUUGCUUCUGAAAAUUGCUGAAUUGGAAAUGCAGAAAUUCUCACCUGGGCUUGCUCAAAGAAAAUCCUACGAAGUUGACGAAAAAUUUCCUGAAAAAUUCGCAAAUAAAUUACCGGAAAAAUUCUCAUCAAAAUUACCUUAGAACUUUCAACUUAGUCGUUAAAAUAUAACAUUGACAUAAAAAAUUUCAAAGAAAUUCUCAAAGAACUUUCCGAAAUCAUCAAAGAGAUUUCUGAAGAAAAUUUAGAAAGAAUUCCAAGAGUAAUUGUCGAAGAAUCACCGUGAUAGAAUUUAAAAAAAAAUCGCCAAAGAUUUUUUUUAAAUAAAUUCUUGCAGGAAAUCUCUAAGAAAUUUGCCGAAUCAUUUUCCAAAGAAUUACCGAAGAAAUCCCCAAAGUAAUCGAAGUUUCCGAAAUUUCUAAAUGAAUUGCUAAUGAAAUUCCCAAAUAAAUUUUCAAUGCUAGUAACAUCGGAUUUGCCAAAGGUAUUCCGAAAUCAUCUAUUGCAGGAAUCUCUCACAUAAUUAGUGAAGAAAUUUAAAAGAAGUUGUCUAAAGAAUUUUCAUUGAAAUCAUAUAAGAAUUUCCGAAGGACUUUUCGAAGGAAUUGGAUAAUGGAAGCCCAAAAAAUCGGAAAAAAAAUCACAAAAAAAUAAUGGCUUGCCGAAGACACUAAAAAAAUGCGAGGAAGUUCCCAGUCACUGUCGAAUGAAUUACCGAAGGCUUCACCAAAAAAUUCCCAAAAGAGUUGCCUGAAGAGUAAUUUGAGAAAUAAAAAAAACAAACAUCAAUAGGAUUGCGACAUUAAAUAAACAAUGUUUGAAAAACUACUAAAAAGUUGGCGAAGAACUCCCGAGAAAACAUUUCAAAUGAUUUUCCAAUGAAAUAAAAAAGCCAAAUGAACUCCUAAUGGAUUCGGCGAAAAAAUUUCCUAGGUAAUUGCAGAUAAAUUUUCAAAAGAUGCGUGAAAGAUGUUUAGUAUAAAAUCCCAAACAUAACACCAAAUACAUUCUUAAAGAAAUUUCCGAAGGAGAUCUAAAGAUAUGACCGGAGAAAUUUACCAAAUCCAAGGGAAUUACUGAGAUAUUUACAAAAGAAGUCUUAAUUGAAAUAAAUUGCAAAGCAACUUCUAACCAAAUUUCCGGGAAUAUUCCCUGAGGAAUUGGGUUGUUAAGUGAAUAAAAUAUUGCUAUUUUUAUAUCCUAAUCGAUAGAUCUCAUUUUUAUGAGUAUAACGUGAUAUUAUUGCGAUCCAAUUUCUUGGUUUUGAUGGUUAAAUAAACAAUUCCUGGCCACCAAAAAUUAUGAAAUUUUGGAUUUCAACUUAUUUGUGAACGGAGAAUCUGAUUAUGAAAUAAUCUGAAUAACCCUAAAGAACCCAACUACCGAAAGAAUGUUUCGACGAAAACACAAAUUUCUUAUAUUAUACGUACAAACCAGACUUGAUUAUCCGAAAUUUACGAAGCAGAAGUUAUGACUGAUUACUACAAUGUUGUUUUUACGUAAAUCAGAUUCCCGAAGAAAAAAAUCGAAGUUCCCUUACACCAAAUUCCGGCUUUUAACUGGAUGGAUAAUAUGUUCGUGAAGCUUAAUGGAACUCAUUAUAAUCGACUCCAAAUUUUGUAGGGUUAAGAAUCAUAGUCACAAUUUCUCCGUAAAAGUAAAAGUUGCCCACGUGGUAGUGUUCAACUAAUGAAACAAAACGUUAAUGGCGACAUUAAUGUUGAGGUCAAACCAAAAAUGCAAAUAUGUAUCCUGAUAUUGCUAUUUUAGGUAUUUAUAACUCUUGAAAACUAUUUUUGUAAGAGUUGUUAUCAUGCAAUUAACCAAAGAGGAUGUCACGAUGAAUACUAGUUACACGCAAAUUUGAGAAUAUUUUAUAGUUUCUGAGAUUUACACUUCUAAAAGUUGCUCUGAAAAAUAUUCUUACGGACCUGAUUUUUUCCAAUCCACAAAACAAAAGGGUAUUCGUCAUGAUUGUUGAGUUCAAACUGAACUGAAAAUACAAAUUCCAUGUAUUAUACGCAAUCAAGUUAUCAAGUCUUCAAGCUUCACAUGGCGGGGAAAGUGUUAAGUCAGUACAACGGUUGGGAUUAUCAAAAAAAAAAAGAACUGUUCCUUAAAAUAUAGAGCAUUUAAAUUUGCUGGCUAUUUUUUGCCGCGACGCAGUAUAUCAUUAUACUAAGAAAUUGAGGGUAGAUCGAUAUUUGCUUCUACAAAAAAAAAAAAGUAAAACAACCUGGAAACUACUGAAACUGGCACCCUCUAGGCACCCCCUAGGAAAAAAUCCUAGAUACGCCAAUGUCAAAGACAUUACUUGUAUAUUUAAUGGAUGUGCUCAAAUGGUUUUUAUAGUAGAGAAUACAAGUUUAUCGGGGAUUAAUGUUACAAGUUUGAUUUAAAAAGCUUUUAACAUCCUAGCUUUUAACAUGGAUUUAAAAUACAGCAAUCAGCUCAUUUGGAAAGAGUCAAACACCGUAUUGUAUUCAAAAGUUGAUCGGUUGACCACUAAUUAGUAACCAAUCGAUCAACUUUUCAAUUCCAAACCAAGUUUCUGAUGAUGUUUUAAAGUUGUUCUCCUGAGAAUUUUCGAGUUUCCAUAGAUUUUCCAAUUUCAUGCUAUUGCCAAGCCAACCACUAUUUCAUGCUCCAAAGAAUAGGGUCGAGAUGAUUUCAGAAGAAAUUACUCCACUACGAACUGCAACUCCUGCAGCACAUUAUUCUGUAAACGUGUUUUAAUCGCCAUCUUUUCACUUUGAGCAUCGCCGGCGGCUGACACAGACACUGAUGCAAACACGGUUUCGCUAUACAUUGUUAUUAUGUGUGUACACACAUAUUUUUUUGCUAUGGGUGAUCACACAUACCAAUGAUUUGUGAAACUAAUUAAAAGAAUAAACGAUAAUCAUGUUAGUUAUAUUUUGGGUAAUAAAAUAUAUGUGUGAGAAGGUCGAUUGGAUCGAUGUGUAAUUUCACAUAAAAUAAAUAUUUGCAGUUUUUGCAGUGUGGGUGCACGAUCAACUCCAAGCGUUCACUGAAGAAACUUGAGGUUGUAACUACUCGCAGAUACCGUUGACUUGAGGAGAGGGUCACAGCACAGAAGUGACCCUUCCCAGCAGCUAACGAGGCUCUGUAUUUACCCUCAAUCGCAGGGUCGGCACGUUCAUCCUUUCUAUUUCGCGGACUCAUGAAAACACUUGAGCUUGCUUUUUCACACUCCUGUUUAUUAAGUUUUAGUGCACUUACGAUUUGUUACAGUUAGUUUUAUAGAGCAAUUAUUUGUACCGAAAAGCGUAAAUUUGUUCAAGUGUUAAACAAACAUCGAAGGAAAACAAUUUCUAGGCAUCCCUAAGUUGUUUGAAAAGCGAAGCAAAGGAAAAAUUUUCUUGAAAUCGUCGUGACGUGUCGUGCCAGCAAAAGACUUCCACCAAAAACGAACGAGCACCACAAGUGGCAAAGCCUCGACAACGAGCGGACAUAGUGGGUGAUAGUGCGCAGAAAACGAAUCUCCAAAGUCGGGCCGGAACGAGAUUGACCAUAGAGAUUACGCUAGCGCAGAUCCGGUUUCUUCAGUGCAAAAACCCGCGUCACAACAUUCCGCACGUGUCAGGAGCUGUCGAGAGAACAGUCGCCCAAUCCGCUGCGCCUGGACUGUCAACGUAACGAUUUGCGGCCAACAUCGCUUUUCUGGAGCGUAUUGACCAGACUGUCCAGGAGACGGACCGCAGCACUCUGACACGAGUGAUUGAGCACGAUCGGGCAUCCUUGCAUAAAGGCACUGAAUCUAAACCACCUGCGAAUAAGCUCCAGAUCGAGCUACUCGGCAACGGAGAGAGUGUGUCGCACCAAACAAGCCCCUCUACAGGGUAGGGAAAUUAUUCACAGCAGGAAUAAACAGCACUUAACCUAAACGUCCCCACAGGGUUUUGUUUACCAUCUUCACAGCGCACAUAGAGGGAACCUCGGAGGGAGCUCCGCACGUCAGAGGCGUUCCCGUCUCUACCCUCGUCCGUCUGGAACCAAUCCGCACCAAAUCGUCGGCCACGCACGGAAACCACGAGCAAGAAGGCGCGAGCAAUCCGGCACAACCAAGCGCGAUCGCAUCGGCAAAUCACGUCACCCGCCGAGCCUUCUGGAAUUCCCCAGACGGAGGUCACGCGACGGCCAUCGAAAGAGGCAGCUGGGAGUGUCAACGGCCUCGGUGAUUCGAGGUGACAGAGGCCCGCCACCUGAUGAGAACGAUGGCGGAGUGCAGGCUGGCCGGCACGUCGCGGCAAGGCCCCCAUUAGGGAGGAUCGAUGAUACACGGUUGCUGGUGCAAUCCUAAUUUUCGGUGAGCUACGAAUACCCUAAGUUAAGCUAUAUGAACUAGAGCAAUAAAGCAACUUUGUUAUGACAAAUUGAGUUCGGGCUGCAGUUUGUUGUUUCUGUCAUUCUCGCAUCCCUAAUUGACGGGAAAGAGAUUUUUGAGUAACAGAUUUUCUAGCUAUUUACCUUCUUCACCCUACAUCUUUCCACCCACUUUCUUAAUCUAAUCUGACCUUCUUCCAUCUUGGGGCUCCUACCCUCUUGCUGCCAUCUUCGAUCGUUCCACGCUCCGUCUUCUUCUCGGGCCACGGUCCAAAUGCGACCUUUACCGCCUAAAUGAACCGGGAGUUCUUCAACUUUCGGAGAACGAGUCUGCAUUGGUCUUCGGCCGGGUGUAGUGAAUGGUCGGAACAUCACCUGCCCAAGUUUACGUCGGAUGCCGCCACGGUGGAGGGUGGCCCAUUUUGAGGCUAGGGUUCACCUCGGUAGUUAUGGUAAAACCACGGUAAAACUACGGGGUUCUGUGUCCUCCCUGGACACUCUUGAUCCUAGUUUCGGCUCAACGAACAGCGAGCACUUCUAACUAAGCUGUUGGGGAAUAUUUGGGUAAAUGGCCGAUCUUAUGGUCACGAUCCGUCUAGGAUCUAUAUUCAUGUCAUGGUCUCCAUUUGCUACCAACGGCCACUAUUAUUCGCUUGACAGGCAGAGUCCUCUAGUGGGAGAUCUUGCAGAAUAUCGGUAGCUGCAUUUAUAGGCUGCGUUCUUAUCGGGUAACCAGCAAACACAAAGUGGAAACACACAACACAAACACUUUCCUAAAUUUUAUUCAACAAACUGACGAAUACCACUGUAGACCGCGACAAAAUCUCAAAAACCUGCUGAAGGGAUAUUACGAACCGUUACAGGGUCGUGAUCGACGAUGUGCUAAAAUUCGGUAGCCAUGUGGAAUAUGUCUACAGUCCCUCUGGAGCCGACCUACUGAUACUGAUACUUGGCAAGAGUCUCGAGCAAGCGUGAAGAAACGUGAAACGACUUGAGAGCACCCGCAGGUUGAUGUACCUUAGGGUCGUCAGUGCAUAUCGCAUGGUCUUAAAGGACGCGGUAUGUGAGCUAGCAGGCAUGAUGCUCAUUGGAUUAGUGGUGGUAGAGGAUGAAGAGUGUUUCGAGCGACGCGGCAUAACAUCGUCAGUGUUGAAAUGGCAGAGGGAAUGGGAUUCCUCCAGCAAGGGUAGAUAGAUACACAGUACAGGUUCAUACCGAGCGUGUCUAACUGGACGAGCAGAGUCCCAUGGCGAGGUGAACUUCUUGGCCCUAUUUCUAUCGGCCUAUGGGGGCUUUGUUGAAUGGUAGGUACAUCCUUGGAGGUGCAUCACACAGCUCAGUGGAGAUCUAGGUAUCAACUGGUAGGUAAAUGACACAUUCUACCGUGACGUUACAACGUUUUGACGCAUUCGUAGUCAGAUUUUCCACUAUAACUCAUGAAAACGAGCGUAAACCUCAAAAUAUUUUUUCAUAUUCGGAUUCCUUGUAAAAUUUCCGAUAUGUUUGACCUGUUUAAUAUUUAGUUUUCAUUAGAAAAACUUAUUUUGAAUGGGUAUUUGUAGCGUGACGUUACAACGCGCUAAAAUUCGACCCCUUCUACCGCGCAACCAACAUCUUGAAAAAUUUGCUCGGAUUUUUAUUUUCAACUGAAAAUUUCUCCCACCAUUGAAAUUUACUGGUUUGUUCUUCAAUGCAGUGAAAUAAAACAUUUGCAUUUCAGAUUCGUUUUUGGAUAAUCGACUUUUACAUUUCGUGACGUUACAACGCCCGUUCAGUUUCAAACAGGGUUCUGCUCGCGUUGUAACGUCACGAAAAUGCACAUCAUUUUAUAAUCAGAAUAAUCAGCCAAAAUUGCCCGAAUUUGUGAAUAUAUUCACUGCUCCAAGAGCAACUUUAUUCUAUUGAAAAUCCGUUUUGUGAUAAAUGGGUCGGAGGGCCAAGUUAUUGCUAUCAGCAGUAUGAAAACUCCUUCAUGAAAGUUAAUGGUACCCAUCUUCGGCCUAGUACCACCCAUAUUCAUCUAAUAUUGUCCCAAAGACUAAACCGUUGAUAUUCAUUACUUCGCACCGCCAGAUAUUUAGAUUGUGCAGCAUAAAACUAAUCACGCCGUCGAAUUAAACAUUUUUUCAAUAGUUAAUGCAAUGUCAUUGAUUCAAUUAAAAACGCUUAAAGAUGUGCGAGCAGUUAUUGAACCAAAGACAUACCUGAGGAUCUGCAUACCACUUAGGGGCAUCAAUUUCUGUGAUUCUAGAGACAAAUAGACCUAAUUCUGACAAAAAAAUCCAUCCUAUAUAUGUCAGAGUUAUAAUUACUUAGAGAGUUAGUGUCUUUGGCAAAGUUGUUUGAUAAGUCAAAAACUUACAGCUGAUUUACUAUUGGAUAUGAGAUUCAGACACACUGGGCGACGCUAAUUAAAAGUAUACAAUAGUUUAGAAUUUCUCAAAAAGUUUUCAACAAAUUUUGACUAGUUGAGAAACUUUUUUUUGGCAAAAUCUUUGGGAACUUUAUAAGAAGUUACAACAUGUUGAAUAUUUUUUGAAUAAAUAUAAAAUGCAUGAUUUUUCAAAAUUUCAACUACCACUAGUCAGUUAGAAACUUGAACCAAACGGCUUUUAAACUGAAAAUUCUUUACAAGAUAAACAACUUUUCCAAAAACAUCAACAUUCUAAAAGUCUAAAGUCUAAGUAAUUAGAGCCCUGAGAUUUAUGAGUUUCUAUUUCGUAGGUGUUACCGUGUAUGCACCAAACUUUGCGCAGUUAAGAAAAAUCAAAUUUCUAGUCGUUAUAAAACAUACAAACAAACAAAAUAUAUAAUGAACAACAUGCCCAUACGAUAGACAUAUGAUCCUUCUUUGAAUCUGCAAUAGAGAAAAAAUCGUAAUAUUAAUUAAAAAAUACUUAAAAUAGAAAAACUAUUUCAUUGCCUUGUUCCUAACUUUGCGCACAAAAUCUUCGAUUGUUCCUAACUUUGUGCAUGGUGUGCCUAACUUUGCGCAUGCUAUGAAUUGCUCAAAAAAGCCAUCAAACAUACUGUUAUUUAAUGUUUUUUUCCGUUAAAAUAAAGUUAUUCAGGUAGUGUGCCCUUAAAUGAUCUUUGUUGAAAUACUUUGUCCUAGGAGGGAGGGGAACGGAGGCCUCCGGAGUUCUUGAAUUCGUCUGCGGUUCGUACUAGACAUUGACCGUGUGAACAAUCCUAACUUCAUAAGGGGUUUUCCAAUGGCUAAAGAUCAAAGGUAAAAGCUUCCUGAUAAAUUAAAUGACCGUUACGGAUAGGAACAAUAAGGGGUCAUUAAAAUAUGACGUCCAUCUUUGAGGGGAGGGAGUUGGGGUUGCCUGAAAAAAGUGUGAUAUGCCAUGUAUUAGGUAGGGUGGGGCGGGGCAAGAUGGGUCGCGGGGCAAGAUGGGUCAGUGCCAUUUUCGGGCGCAUUACUUAUGUUUUGGUUAUGUUAAUAAUUUUGUUAGAUGACCAGCAUGAAUAUACAAAAGUUUGGAGCAUUGAUUGAAAAAUGAUUCACUCUCAUUGGAAUUAAAAAAUAAAAUGGUUUUUAGCCAUUUUUCUUAUGCGAUACAUUCCAUAUAAUCCCCAUAUGAACGGCCGCGGGGCAAGAUGGGUCACCUUCAAUUUUGAACGUAUUUUUGGAGCAUUUCAAAGUUAUUUAUUUUUUAUUACAAGACUAUCUCAUAAAUGACUUCAAUCAAACGGAAUGAACGCUCAAAAUUAUAACAUAAAAUUAUGAUAAUUUUUUAGUGAAAACAUCGAUUUUCAAGUCGCCUUAGGACCACUCAAAUCGUAAAGUUUUUUAUAUUCCAAAUAAAUUUAUAAAAUGUUCACUAAUAGCUCUUGUUUACUCAGUAUGGAUAUGGAGCAUAUAUGAAUGCCGAACAAAUCUCAUAUUUUGACGUUUUUCGUUGAGAAAAUGUGAAUUACUUAAAAGGUGACCCAUCUUGCCCCGCACUUUUUUCACGGUGCAAAAUCGAUCACUUUUUAAAAUUGCUUGUUUAACGUCAUAUUUUGUAUUUAAUUAACUUUUUAUCGACUUUUAGCAUAGCUAACUAGUGUAAUAAAGAGUAGCGGACGAAUACAAACCAAUACGAUUUGUAUUUACAAAGUUAUGGUGAUCCAUCCUUAGGUGACCCAUCUUGCCCCGCCCCACCCUAUACUAUCAAGCGUGACGGAGGGGCCAGGGGAGGAGGAGGAGUCCAUCUUUGAGGGGAGCAAGUUCUAAAAUCCUAAAAAAAUGUGGAUGUCAUAUUUGAAUAGUCCCUAACAUUGACCGCUGGAAAAGCCAAAUAAAGGACUGUUUACAAAUUACGUCACUGUUGAAAGGCAGGCACUCUCCAUGCCUGCCAUAGUGCAACGGUUCAUACAUUUUUCUACUAAUUUCUAUACAAAAUCUGCUACAUGGUGGAGACGGAGGCCUGAAAUUGUCAGUACUAGUGUUACAUAAUAUUUAAAUGGUUCAUAAGGCAUGUAUUCACGUUGCACAUGCAUUUACUGAAUGUGCGCAAACAUUAGGAACACAGUGCAAAUAAUGGUUCCAAACAUUGCGCACCACUAUUUACUAAUGAAAUUGAAAAAAAUAUCAUGGACUGUGAUUGAUAUUACUAAAAUAUCACCUUUUCUGUCUAUUAACGGCAAAAUUAAUCAUCGUUGCACAGUUUUAUCGAGGAAAAUGUUGAUUUUUAGUAGAGUUACUUCUUGGCAACCGUGUUAAGGCGAGGCAAAUUUUGACAUUUUUGUGUAUUUUUUGUUUAUUUUUCAACAUAAACAAAGAUUUCAUGGCAAUUAAAUAUUCGUCAAAUAAUGUUUAUAUUUACACAAUGCUAGUGCAAUUAUUAAACUGGUGAAAAUGUUGACAGUUAGUUAUUUUUUUCGUUAUUUUACAAGAAUGCGCAAAGUUUGGACCUGCGCAAAGUUAGGUGCGCACACGG